rnacentral:rRNA from 1 species
CAAUAGCGUAUAUUAACGUUGUUGCAGUUAAAAAGCUCGUAGUUGGAUUUCUGGAGGGAGCGUCGGCCCGUAUUUACGAGUGCGUGACGUCUCUGUCCAUCCUUGCGGGAAGGCACGGCAUUGAUUUGCUGUGUCGGAUCGCAUCAUUUACUGUGAAAAAAUUAGAGUGUUCAAAGCAGGCUUUCGCUUGAAUACAUUAGCAUGGAAUAAUAAGAUAGGACUUUGGUGCUAUUUUGUUGGUUGAGCCUAAAGUAAUGAUUAAUAGGGAUAGUUGGGGGCACCUGUAUUGCGUUGUCAGAGGUGAAAUUCUUGGAUUUACGCAAGACAAACAGCUGCGAAANCGNNNGCCAAGGAUGUUUUCAUNAA